UGCCCCGUGGCUGAGUUGGUUACAGCGUCCGACUGUUACUUUGGCACGGUCAAUCGGAAGGUCGUGAGUUCGAGCCUCACCGGGGCAG